rnacentral:rRNA from 1 species
UACGGGUUGUAAAGCACUUUAAGCGAGGAGAAGGUCAUCAUACUAAUAUUAUGAUGAAUUGACGUUACUCGCAGAUAAGCACCGGCUAACUCUGUGCCAGCAGCCGCGGUAAUACAGAGGGUGCAAGCGUUAAUCGGAAUUACUGGGCGUAAAGCGCGCGUAGGCGGUUUGUUAAGUCGGAUGUGAAAUCCCUGGGCUCAACCUAGGCACUGCAUCCGAUACUGGCUGACUAGAGUGUGGGAGAGGAAGGUAGAAUUCCAGUUGUAGCGGUGAAAUGCGUAGAGAUCUGGAGGAAUACCGAUGGCGAAGGCAGCCUUCUGGCCUAACACUGACGCUGAGGUGCGAAAGCAUGGGGAGCAAACAGGAUUAGAUACCCUGGUAGUCCAUGCUGUAAACGAUGUCAACUAGCCGUUGGGGUCUUUAAGACUUUAGUGGCGUAGCUAACGCGAUAAGUUGACCGCCUGGGGAGUACGGUCGCAAGACUAAAACUCAAAUGAAUUGACGGGGGC